GGUUAAGCGACUAAGCGUACACGGUGGAUGCCCUGGCAGUCAGAGGCGAUGAAGGACGUGCUAAUCUGCGAAAAGCGUCGGUAAGGUGAUAUGAACCGUUAUAACCGGCGAUGUCCGAAUGGGGAAACCCAGUGCAAUUCGUUGCACUAUCGUUAACUGAAUACAUAGGUUAACGAGGCGAACCGGGGGAACUGAAACAUCUAAGUACCCCGAGGAAAAGAAAUCAACCGAGAUUCCCCCAGUAGCGGCGAGCGAACGGGGAGCAGCCCAGAGUCUGAAUCAGCUUGUGUGUUAGUGGAACGGUCUGGAAAGUCCGACGGUACAGGGUGAUAGUCCCGUACACCAAAAUGCACAGGUUGUGAACUCGAAGAGUAGGGCGGGACACGUGGUAUCCUGUCUGAAUAUGGGGGGACCAUCCUCCAAGGCUAAAUACUCCUGACUGACCGAUAGUGAACCAGUACCGUGAGGGAAAGGCGAAAAGAACCCCGGCGAGGGGAGUGAAAAAGAACCUGAAACCGUGUACGUACAAGCAGUGGGAGCACCUUCGGGUGUGACUGCGUACCUUUUGUAUAAUGGGUCAGCGACUUAUAUUCUGUAGCAAGGUUAACCGUAUAGGGGAGCCGCAGGGAAACCGAGUCUUAACUGGGCGUUAAGUUGCAGGGUAUAGACCCGAAACCCGGUGAUCUAGCCAUGGGCAGGUUGAAGGUUGGGUAACACUAACUGGAGGACCGAACCGACUAAUGUUGAAAAAUUAGCGGAUGACUUGUGGCUGGGGGUGAAAGGCCAAUCAAACCGGGAGAUAGCUGGUUCUCCCCGAAAGCUAUUUAGGUAGCGCCUCGUGAACUCAUCUUCGGGGGUAGAGCACUGUUUCGGCUAGGGGGUCAUCCCGACUUACCAACCCGAUGCAAACUACGAAUACCGAAGAAUGUUAUCACGGGAGACACACGGCGGGUGCUAACGUCCGUCGUGAAGAGGGAAACAACCCAGACCGCCAGCUAAGGUCCCAAAGUCAUGGUUAAGUGGGAAACGAUGUGGGAAGGCACAGACAGCCAGGAUGUUGGCUUAGAAGCAGCCAUCAUUUAAAGAAAGCGUAAUAGCUCACUGGUCGAGUCGGCCUGCGCGGAAGAUGUAACGGGGCUAAACCAUGCACCGAAGCUGCGGCAGCGACACUAUGUGUUGUUGGGUAGGGGAGCGUUCUGUAAGCCUGCGAAGGUGUGCUGUGAGGCAUGCUGGAGGUAUCAGAAGUGCGAAUGCUGACAUAAGUAACGAUAAAGCGGGUGAAAAGCCCGCUCGCCGGAAGACCAAGGGUUCCUGUCCAACGUUAAUCGGGGCAGGGUGAGUCGACCCCUAAGGCGAGGCCGAAAGGCGUAGUCGAUGGGAAACAGGUUAAUAUUCCUGUACUUGGUGUUACUGCGAAGGGGGGACGGAGAAGGCUAUGUUAGCCGGGCGACGGUUGUCCCGGUUUAAGCAUGUAGGCUGGUUGUCCAGGCAAAUCCGGAUAAUCAAGGCUGAGGUGUGAUGACGAGGCACUACGGUGCUGAAGUAACAAAUGCCCUGCUUCCAGGAAAAGCCUCUAAGCAUCAGGUAACAUUAAAUCGUACCCCAAACCGACACAGGUGGUCAGGUAGAGAAUACCAAGGCGCUUGAGAGAACUCGGGUGAAGGAACUAGGCAAAAUGGUGCCGUAACUUCGGGAGAAGGCACGCUGGUGUGUAGGUGAAGCCCCUGCGGGUGGAGCUGAGACCAGUCGAAGAUACCAGCUGGCUGCAACUGUUUAUUAAAAACACAGCACUGUGCAAACACGAAAGUGGACGUAUACGGUGUGACGCCUGCCCGGUGCCGGAAGGUUAAUUGAUGGGGUUAUCCGUAAGGAGAAGCUCUUGAUCGAAGCCCCGGUAAACGGCGGCCGUAACUAUAACGGUCCUAAGGUAGCGAAAUUCCUUGUCGGGUAAGUUCCGACCUGCACGAAUGGCGUAAUGAUGGCCAGGCUGUCUCCACCCGAGACUCAGUGAAAUUGAACUCGCUGUGAAGAUGCAGUGUACCCGCGGCAAGACGGAAAGACCCCGUGAACCUUUACUAUAGCUUGACACUGAACAUUGAGCCUUGAUGUGUAGGAUAGGUGGGAGGCUUUGAAGCGUGGACGCCAGUCUGCGUGGAGCCAACCUUGAAAUACCACCCUUUAAUGUUUGAUGUUCUAACGUUGGCCCCUGACCGGGGUUGCGGACAGUGUCUGGUGGGUAGUUUGACUGGGGCGGUCUCCUCCCAAAGCGUAACGGAGGAGCACGAAGGUUAGCUAAUCCUGGUCGGACAUCAGGAGGUUAGUGCAAUGGCAUAAGCUAGCUUGACUGCGAGCGUGACGGCGCGAGCAGGUGCGAAAGCAGGUCAUAGUGAUCCGGUGGUUCUGAAUGGAAGGGCCAUCGCUCAACGGAUAAAAGGUACUCCGGGGAUAACAGGCUGAUACCGCCCAAGAGUUCAUAUCGACGGCGGUGUUUGGCACCUCGAUGUCGGCUCAUCACAUCCUGGGGCUGAAGUAGGUCCCAAGGGUAUGGCUGUUCGCCAUUUAAAGUGGUACGCGAGCUGGGUUUAGAACGUCGUGAGACAGUUCGGUCCCUAUCUGCCGUGGGCGCUGGAGAAUUGAGGGGGGCUGCUCCUAGUACGAGAGGACCGGAGUGGACGCAUCACUGGUGUUCGGGUUGUCAUGCCAAUGGCACUGCCCGGUAGCUAAAUGCGGAAGAGAUAAGUGCUGAAAGCAUCUAAGCACGAAACUUGCCCCGAGAUGAGUUCUCCCUGAGACUUUAAGUCUCCUGAAGGAACGUUGAAGACGACGACGUUGAUAGGCCGGGUGUGUAAGCGCAGCGAUGCGUUGAGCUAACCGGUACUAAUGAACCGUGAGGCUUAACCUU
rnacentral:rRNA from 1 species